CAGCCCCUCGAGUGGUGGGGAUGAUUAUUUGGCCUAAAGCGUCCGUAGCCGGCCGAGCAAGUCUUCCGUUAAAUCCAGCGUCUCAAGCGUUGGACUGCGGGAGAUACUACACAGCUAGAGAGUGGGAGAGGUGUGCGGUAUUCUGGGGGUAGGGGCGAAAUCCUUUGAUCCCCGGAGGACCACCAGUGGCGAAGGCUGCACACUAGAACACGUCUGACGGUCAGGGACGAAAGCUGGGGUAGCGAACCGGAUUAGAGACCCGAGUAGUCC
rnacentral:rRNA from 1 species